UACGUAGGGGGCAAGCGUUAUCCGGAAUUACUGGGUGUAAAGGGAGCGUAGGCGGUAUGGUAAGCCAGAUGUGAAAGCCCGAAGCUUAACUUCGAGGAUUGCAUUUGGAACUAUCAAACUAGAGUACAGGAGAGGUAAGUGGAAUUCCUAGUGUAGCGGUGAAAUGCGUAGAUAUUAGGAAGAACACCAGUGGCGAAGGCGACUUACUGGACUGAAACUGACGCUGAGGCUCGAAAGCGUGGGGAGCGAACAGG
rnacentral:rRNA from 1 species